UAACCGUGCAAAGGUAGCAUAAUCAUUUGUCUACUAAUUAUAGACCUGUAUGAAUGGCAAAAUGAGGGCCCAACUGUCUCUUAUAAUAAACCAAUUAAACUGAUCUCCUAGUAAAAAAGCUAGAAUAACACCAUAAGACCAGAAGACCCUGUGAAACUUAAACUAAACUAUUAAAACAAAUAAUAGCUACUUUCGGUUGGGGCGACCUUGGAAAAAAAAAGAACUUCCAAACACACCACACACUGGCUGACAAGCCAUUAAAGACCCAGCACAGCUGAGCAUUGAACCAAGCUACUCCAGGGAUAACAGCGCUAUCUUCUUCAAGAGCCCAUAUCAAAAAGAAGGUUUACGACCUCGAUGUUGGAUCAGGACACCCAAAUGGUGCAACCGCUAUUAAAGGUUCGUUUGUUCAACGAUUAAUGUCCUACGUGAU
rnacentral:rRNA from 1 species